UUAAUUAUUUAAUUGUAAAAUUACAUUUUUGUCCUUGAGGGUAAGGGUACUUUAGUCACUUUUUGUUCGGAAAUGAGUUUGGGGAAUUGAGUGGUACGGAUGCAUAGAGCUCGUCGAUAUGAGUGCAUAGACAGGCAGCAUGCUCAAUUUCGAGUUGUAACAAAGGAGAAAAGGUCUGAAAAUGGAAAGGAUGUAUUAUGAAUUACUAAAAUUGUUCGAAAACCUUAAAUACCCAGCUAUCUCUCCUCACUCCUCGCGCACCCGUGAAACCCCCUCACCAGUUCUCUCUCCUUCCCCGCAUCUCUCUCUUCCCCCUUUGACGCAGUCAUUGUGCAAGUAGUGACUGUUCGUCUUCCCAACACACAAUGCUACAGUCCAACCACCUCCGACUACGAGACCGGUCAGAAAAUGACGGCCACCUAAUACGAGACCGGUCGAAAAAUGAUGGCCAUCGACCGCCGACCAUGUCUAGGCCAAAGCCUGACCUCCCCUGCUCCUCAUGACGUCGGCACGAGCUUCAAAAGAAAGAAUGAGGGUUUAACUUUCUAACACCGAUUUCGAUGACUUCGGCAUCCGUUGAUGUCAAUCCAGGUAUGGAUUUCGAUCCUUUCCUCGUGCUCUUGCUAAUUGUGUACAUGGUUUGGGUUGAUUUUGAGAUUUGAGAGUUUGAUAUAUACACCCUUAUGGGCCGGCAGUUUUGGUCGUGUUUCGGGCAACUUUGGCCACUUUUUGGUCAGGGUUCAAGAACCAAAAAUACUCCCCUAGUUGUGCUUGAACUGUGGGUAUAGGUAUUGGCCGAUGAUUUGGAGAUUUUUCGUUGCUAGAAAAUCUCUCAAGCCGCCCACUGCUGCCCGCUGCGAGUGGGCAGCCCAUUGUCUUCUAAAAUGUUCCCCACGUCAUACUAAGCACGAUGGUAUGCUCGGAUUUGAAUUUGGUUAUCGUUUGACUAUCGAACGAAUGUUGCGCCUAUUAUGCGAUAUCCGGGUUCAAUAUGUUCAGACCAUUCAAUAUGUUCCAAGUUUAAUUAUGUUGUUCCCUUUACCUCUAGGAUAGUGUAGGAACUUGCAGGUCGAGAAUUAGAGUCCCAGAUAGUCCGAGUCAAUGAUUCUAGGUUUAGGCGAACCAAUCGUCAUCUGAUCAUGCGAUUGGCUUAGAUCCGACCGCCCGAUCUAGACCAAACCUUUGGGACUUAUUUAGUAGACUUUUGGGUUCAUUUGGUACGGCAGACUGUUAUGGACAGGACUAAAUCCUGUGACUAUGUUGAAUUAGCUCGGAUUGGCCUAAGCUGGAUUAAGUACUGACCUACGUUUGGUGCUGCGUCGAACUAAGAAGCUGGAUUGUAAAAAUAGUGAAACCUAUGUUUGGUACUCUGUCGGACUAAAAAAUAAAUAUUUAAUAUUUAAAUUUAAUUAAAAAUUUUAACCUAUAAAUAAAUAAAUAAAUAAAAUUAUCAUAUUUAUUUUUUUUGAUCAAUUCAUCAUUUCAUUAAACCCACGCUUGUUGUCAUUGUCUGUAUGUAAAGUGAGAGAGUGAAACGUUUUCUUCUUCUUUUCUCUAUUCCUUAUUUUUUUUAUUCUUUCUCUCCUCUCUGUCUUCUUUCUGAUCUCAUUUUCUUCUUUUCUUUUCUUCCUCUUUCUUUCCUUCUUUCUUCACUUUGUUUUUGGUUUCAUUAUUUUCAGCUUUUCUCUAUUUGGAACUUCUACGAAUUGGAACUGCUUUUCUCUUCUUUUUUUUGGGUUUCAUUAUUCUCUUUCUUUUCUCUCUUCUUUAUUUUUUUUAUUCUUUAUCUCUUCUCUCUCUCUUCUUUCUGAUCUCAUUUUCUUCAUCUUUCUUUCCUUCUUUCUUCUCUCUGUUUAUAAUUUCAUUAUUUUCAGCUUUUCUCUAUUUGGAACUUCUACGAAUUGGAACUGCUUUUAUCUUUUUUUUUUUUUGGGUUUCAUUAUUCUCUGUUUCUAGUUUCUUUAUUUUCUGGUUCUUCUCUUUUACCAAUUCCCUAAACCUUUUAUGAUUCAUGUUUUUCUCUUAUGUACAGACAGAGAUGGCGAAGAGAGAUGAUUCUAGGUUCUGUGGGUGGUUGGGGUGGCGAAGAGAGAUGGGUCUGUGUGUGGCUUGCAGGUGGUGGUCAUGAGGGAGAAUAAAUUCGGGGGAGAAGGGGGAGCGCUGGGCAUUGGGUUUUGCCAGAGUAUGUCGAUUUGGUUUGUGUUUUGAUUCAAGGUGUAAGGAAAUCCAGCUGGACUCGUGUGUUCAAAAUAGUGAUGGUGCUUUUUUUCGAACUGCAUUUGGGGCUCACUGAAUUAGAUAUGCGAGUCCGGUUAUUUUUUCACUAUUGGACUAUGCAAUCUCAUUUAAGUUAAUCCCCUUCCUUGCCAAACAUGGGUUUUAAGUGUUAUUUCAUACAAUCCAGUCCAGUGAGGCAUAGUGAGGCCUACCAAACAUGCCCUGUUAGACCUAUAGGAACUUUCGGAUCUAAAAUCGGACGUCGUGGCCCUGCGGGCCCAAUUGACCAAUAUGGAAAGUUUGACCGCUUUGUUGGCCAUGAGUCUUCCAAGACCGUCUCAUACUUUGGGGAGUACUAUAAUGACCCUAUUAACCUUCUUAAAGGUUGUGCACACUUUGAGACCUAGAAAUUAGAGUUUUGAGUUAAAGUUUUUUGUGGGGUACUUUUAUUAACUAAGUCCGUUUAUCCUGUUAAAUAGGUAUUCAUUCUUCGCGUACUUUACAAAAAGAGCCCUCUUAAGGUUGAGCAGCAUGGGAUUUUAUUAUCAUGCUAGUCUCGGCUUUUACAAUUUCUAGGAAUUAUUAUUAUUAUUUGAGAGGGUAUCUUCUAUAUUAGGGACUAAUGACAUGUCGGGAGCUCAUUACUUUAUUACAUCUGUUUAACUAAUAAUACAAUUAACCCAUCAGUCCCGAACUCCAUAUAUCCAAAAAAAAAAAAAUUCCAGAUUUAUGUACCAUUUCUCUAAAUAUUAAUUCCUAAUUUUCAAGAUGGAUUUUUGGGGCUAGAAUCACUACUAAAAAAUCUCCAAGCCAAAUAUGCAACAAUUCCUCGUUCUUGAAGUCAAUGAUUUCAUAGAGGAUCACCAACCAUUUGAAAUCACAAACUUGAAGAAAAUAAAUUCAUAAAAUCCCCAUAUGAGCAG
rnacentral:lncRNA from 1 species